GCCGGGUGCAGUGGCAUGUGCCUGUAAUCCAAGUCACUGGGAGGCUGAGAUGGUGGAUCAAGUGAGCUGAGGAGCUCUGGGCUGCAGCACGCUAUGUCGAACGGGUGUCCACGCUAAGUUCGGUAUCGAUAUGGUGUUCCUGGGGGAGCCUGGGACCACCAGGUUGUCUAAGGAGGGGUGAACCGGCCCAGGUCGGAAACGAAGCAGGUCAAAUCCCCCGUGCUGUCCAGUAGUGGGAUAAUACCUUUGAGUAGAUGCUGCAGUGCAGCCUUGGCAAAACAUCGAGACCUAAUCUUUU
rnacentral:SRP_RNA from 1 species